rnacentral:tRNA from 1 species
CAGGUGGCACAAUGGGUCAGUGAUUCUGGCUCUUAGCCAGAAGGUUGGUGGUUCGAGCCCACCCAGGGGGU